rnacentral:rRNA from 1 species
UGGGGAAUAUUGCACAAUGGGCGCAAGCCUGAUGCAGCAACGCCGCGUGAGGGACGACGGCCUUCGGGUUGUAAACCUCUUUUAGUAGGGAAGAAGCGAAAGUGACGGUACCUGCAGAAAAAGCACCGGCUAACUACGUGCCAGCAGCCGCGGUAAUACGUAGGGUGCGAGCGUUGUCCAGAAUUAUUGGGCGUAAAGAGCUCGUAGGCGGUCUGUCGCGUCUGCUGUGAAAACCCGAGGCUCAACCUCGGGCCUGCAGUGGGUACGGGCAGACUAGAGUGCGGUAGGGGAGAAUGGAAUUCCUGGUGUAGCGGUGGAAUGCGCAGAUAUCAGGAGGAACACCGAUGGCGAAGGCAGUUCUCUGGGCCGUAACUGACGCUGAGGAGCGAAAGCGUGGGGAGCGAACAGGAUUAGAUACCCUGGUAGUCCACGCCGUAAACGUUGGGCGCUAGAUGUGGGGACCAUUCCACGGUUUCCGUGUCGCAGCUAACGCAUUAAGCGCCCCGCCUGGGGAGUACGGCCGCAAGGCUAAAACU